GUGAGAGAUGCCAGAGCAAGGUCCUCUGUCUGCAGAACAGGUACAGCACAGGCAGUGGCAGUGCAAGCCACCUUCACAUGUCCUACCAACAUGCCCCAGAAAGGACGCCUCUAAGGAUGAAAGGCAGUUCAGUCUCCAUGGUCCAUUCAGUUCUUGGUGUCU
ensembl:misc_RNA